ACGAACGCUGGCGGCAUGCCUAACACAUGCAAGUCGAACGAGACCUUCGGGUCUAGUGGCGCACGGGUGCGUAACGCGUGGGAACCUGCCCUUAGGUUCGGAAUAACUCCCCGAAAGGGGUGCUAAUACCGGAUAAUGUCUUCGGACCAAAGAUUUAUCGCCUUUGGAUGGGCCCGCGUUGGAUUAGCUAGUUGGUAGGGUAAAAGCCUACCAAGGCGACGAUCCAUAGCUGGUCUGAGAGGAUGAUCAGCCACACUGGGACUGAGACACGGCCCAGACUCCUACGGGAGGCAGCAGUGGGGAAUAUUGGACAAUGGGCGAAGGCCUGAUCCAGCAAUGCCGCGUGAGUGAUGAAGGCCUUAGGGUUGUAAAGCUCUUUUACCCGGGAUGAUAAUGACAGUACCGGGAGAAUAAGCGCCGGCUAACUCCGUG
rnacentral:rRNA from 1 species